rnacentral:rRNA from 1 species
GGUUAAGCGACUAAGCGUACACGGUGGAUGCCCUGGCAGUCAGAGGCGAUGAAGGACGUGCUAAUCUGCGAAAAGCGUCGGUAAGGUGAUAUGAACCGUUAUAACCGGCGAUGUCCGAAUGGGGAAACCCAGUGCAAUUCGUUGCACUAUCGUUAACUGAAUACAUAGGUUAACGAGGCGAACCGGGGGAACUGAAACAUCUAAGUACCCCGAGGAAAAGAAAUCAACCGAGAUUCCCCCAGUAGCGGCGAGCGAACGGGGAGCAGCCCAGAGUCUGAAUCAGCUUGUGUGUUAGUGGAACGGUCUGGAAAGUCCGACGGUACAGGGUGAUAGUCCCGUACACCAAAAUGCACAGGUUGUGAACUCGAAGAGUAGGGCGGGACACGUGGUAUCCUGUCUGAAUAUGGGGGGACCAUCCUCCAAGGCUAAAUACUCCUGACUGACCGAUAGUGAACCAGUACCGUGAGGGAAAGGCGAAAAGAACCCCGGCGAGGGGAGUGAAAAAGAACCUGAAACCGUGUACGUACAAGCAGUGGGAGCACCUUCGGGUGUGACUGCGUACCUUUUGUAUAAUGGGUCAGCGACUUAUAUUCUGUAGCAAGGUUAACCGUAUAGGGGAGCCGCAGGGAAACCGAGUCUUAACUGGGCGUUAAGUUGCAGGGUAUAGACCCGAAACCCGGUGAUCUAGCCAUGGGCAGGUUGAAGGUUGGGUAACACUAACUGGAGGACCGAACCGACUAAUGUUGAAAAAUUAGCGGAUGACUUGUGGCUGGGGGUGAAAGGCCAAUCAAACCGGGAGAUAGCUGGUUCUCCCCGAAAGCUAUUUAGGUAGCGCCUCGUGAACUCAUCUUCGGGGGUAGAGCACUGUUUCGGCUAGGGGGUCAUCCCGACUUACCAACCCGAUGCAAACUACGAAUACCGAAGAAUGUUAUCACGGGAGACACACGGCGGGUGCUAACGUCCGUCGUGAAGAGGGAAACAACCCAGACCGCCAGCUAAGGUCCCAAAGUCAUGGUUAAGUGGGAAACGAUGUGGGAAGGCACAGACAGCCAGGAUGUUGGCUUAGAAGCAGCCAUCAUUUAAAGAAAGCGUAAUAGCUCACUGGUCGAGUCGGCCUGCGCGGAAGAUGUAACGGGGCUAAACCAUGCACCGAAGCUGCGGCAGCGACACUAUGUGUUGUUGGGUAGGGGAGCGUUCUGUAAGCCUGCGAAGGUGUGCUGUGAGGCAUGCUGGAGGUAUCAGAAGUGCGAAUGCUGACAUAAGUAACGAUAAAGCGGGUGAAAAGCCCGCUCGCCGGAAGACCAAGGGUUCCUGUCCAACGUUAAUCGGGGCAGGGUGAGUCGACCCCUAAGGCGAGGCCGAAAGGCGUAGUCGAUGGGAAACAGGUUAAUAUUCCUGUACUUGGUGUUACUGCGAAGGGGGGACGGAGAAGGCUAUGUUAGCCGGGCGACGGUUGUCCCGGUUUAAGCAUGUAGGCUGGUUAUCCAGGCAAAUCCGGAUAAUCAAGGCUGAGGUGUGAUGACGAGGCACUACGGUGCUGAAGUAACAAAUGCCCUGCUUCCAGGAAAAGCCUCUAAGCAUCAGGUAACAUCAAAUCGUACCCCAAACCGACACAGGUGGUCAGGUAGAGAAUACCAAGGCGCUUGAGAGAACUCGGGUGAAGGAACUAGGCAAAAUGGUGCCGUAACUUCGGGAGAAGGCACGCUGGUGUGUAGGUGAAGUCCCUGCGGAUGGAGCUGAGACCAGUCGAAGAUACCAGCUGGCUGCAACUGUUUAUUAAAAACACAGCACUGUGCAAACACGAAAGUGGACGUAUACGGUGUGACGCCUGCCCGGUGCCGGAAGGUUAAUUGAUGGGGUUAUCCGUAAGGAGAAGCUCUUGAUCGAAGCCCCGGUAAACGGCGGCCGUAACUAUAACGGUCCUAAGGUAGCGAAAUUCCUUGUCGGGUAAGUUCCGACCUGCACGAAUGGCGUAAUGAUGGCCAGGCUGUCUCCACCCGAGACUCAGUGAAAUUGAACUCGCUGUGAAGAUGCAGUGUACCCGCGGCAAGACGGAAAGACCCCGUGAACCUUUACUAUAGCUUGACACUGAACAUUGAGCCUUGAUGUGUAGGAUAGGUGGGAGGCUUUGAAGCGUGGACGCCAGUCUGCGUGGAGCCAACCUUGAAAUACCACCCUUUAAUGUUUGAUGUUCUAACGUUGGCCCCUGACCGGGGUUGCGGACAGUGUCUGGUGGGUAGUUUGACUGGGGCGGUCUCCUCCCAAAGCGUAACGGAGGAGCACGAAGGUUAGCUAAUCCUGGUCGGACAUCAGGAGGUUAGUGCAAUGGCAUAAGCUAGCUUGACUGCGAGCGUGACGGCGCGAGCAGGUGCGAAAGCAGGUCAUAGUGAUCCGGUGGUUCUGAAUGGAAGGGCCAUCGCUCAACGGAUAAAAGGUACUCCGGGGAUAACAGGCUGAUACCGCCCAAGAGUUCAUAUCGACGGCGGUGUUUGGCACCUCGAUGUCGGCUCAUCACAUCCUGGGGCUGAAGUAGGUCCCAAGGGUAUGGCUGUUCGCCAUUUAAAGUGGUACGCGAGCUGGGUUUAGAACGUCGUGAGACAGUUCGGUCCCUAUCUGCCGUGGGCGCUGGAGAAUUGA